UACAUGCAUCGUUGGAUUGCAGUCUCAAGCCUGGGAUUCCAACGGAAUUAACGUCCAUUGAAAACUUACUAUGCUCAAGGCACAGAAUGGGGUGGUUUUAUACACAUUCUCCCAUUUGGAUUUUUCAAAGACAGCAUCUAAUCAUCCCCAGAGAAAUUUCAGCUGAGAAGACAGGAUGAUGAAGUGCCCUGGGGGCCAGAGUCCAGACAAGUAUUUUGGCACCUCCAAGGACUGGCAGAACACAGAGAGGAAAAGAGAGACCCUGUUAUCUUUCCGCAGGGGUGGCCAUUCAAACUCUCAGAGAUGGAAGUUAAGAUUUCCUUUGGUAUAAGUGGCAGUUUGACUGGCUGUAAGGAGAGCCUCAGUUUGUUUAAUUUGGAGUAAAAUUUUAUGAGUUAAUCUCUAGUGAGGGAAAGCAGCAGUAAACACAGAACAUACUGGUCAUUA